CCUACGGGUGGCAGCAGUGGGGAAUAUUGCACAAUGGGCGCAAGCCUGAUGCAGCCAUGCCGCGUGUGUGAAGAAGGCCUUCGGGUUGUAAAGCACUUUCAGCGGGGAGGAAGGCGGUGAGGUUAAUAACCUCAUCGAUUGACGUUACCCGCAGAAGAAGCACCGGCUAACUCCGUGCCAGCAGCCGCGGUAAUACGGAGGGUGCAAGCGUUAAUCGGAAUUACUGGGCGUAAAGCGCACGCAGGCGGUCUGUCAAGUCGGAUGUGAAAUCCCCGGGCUCAACCUGGGAACUGCAUUCGAAACUGGCAGGCUAGAGUCUGGUAGAGGGGGGUAGAAUUCCAGGUGUAGCGGUGAAAUGCGUAGAGAGCUGGAGGAAUACCGGUGGCGAAGGCGGCCCCCUGGACAAAGACUGACGCUCAGGUGCGAAAGCGUGGGGAGCAAACAGGAUUAGAUACCCCAGUAGUC
rnacentral:rRNA from 1 species